AUGAUUACGUUUAUUUCUAACAUUGGAAAUAUUCUCAGCCAUUUAAAUAAGUAUGGACAAGAAAUUCGUGUACGCGGACUAUUUAUACGUAUUUUACAUUUGUUCUUGCAUUACAUGUACGAUUGUUGAAAUGGUAACUGAAGACCAUUAAAGUGACACUCUUAUUCAAAUUCAAUACAUACAACUAAAUAGUGCAUUUAUUGAAAAUAUUAAUUACUUAUAACAAGAUUGUAACCGUGUAUUUAAUAGCAGAAAGUUCAAAAAUAUAAAAUGAUCGGUGGAUGCUAAAGGAUUUACUGUGGUGUGCUAUAGUCUCAUAAGAUUUCCUGUACUGAUGAAUCGCAGCUGAAAUCAGCUGGGUCAGAACAGCCGUCAUUAGGGAGAGAUGAAAAAGCAAAUUCAAGAAUAUAUAUGCUUUCGAACGAAGCUUCGUUGAAACAAAGUCACGAACAUGGUGUGGCGACAUUCCGACGGUUGCUUGUAAAGCCCCUGUUGUAUGUGGCGCCGCCAUUCAGCGUUCACGUCACGCCAGGCCUCCAGCCACCCUCCAGCCACCCUCGGGGAUAGUUUGGACACCACCAGAACAUCAGAGAACUUGCGAGUUGACAGGCUAGAUAUCCGACGUAAUUGUUCACGUCACGAUAACUAGACACUUCAAAUGUUUGUAAAGAAAGCGUUUCUUACAUUUGAAUCAUAUGAUUAUCGGAUGUAAAUUGCAAUUUAGAACAAGUUUUUCUCCCACCUCAGAUUAUAAGUAUCUUCCAUGGCCGAGAGUGUAAGAUAGGUGCAUUCCGAGCGUAGGGUGUUUUGCGGAAACGAGGUUUACCGAGUUUCCGCAAAACACCCUGCGCGAGGGUCGGGAUGAAACUAUCUUACACGAGCGGCUAUGGUAGAUGCUUUUUCUCCCACCUCAGUUAAACAAAAUUAAUCAAAAAUGUAUUUUUUGCUGAAACUCUUUUGUGCCUAGUGAAAAUAAUUGCGUAUGGAUAUGCGAUAGCACGUGGUUGUCAUGGAUACGCGCGCAGUGAUCCAGUUAAUGUUAAUA